rnacentral:ribozyme from 1 species
AAUCGUAUCGGCGAUUUAAAAAAGUGUAUUAAGCCGAUAGCGUCCCGACUUAGUCGGGGGUUACA